ACUUAUAAGACUUUAAGUUAAAGGUUGUUGACUGCUACUGGUCUGGUUGUUUUCUGUGUUGGCAGAUUUUCCAAUACCUUUCUGCUUCCUGCAAGUGGGAACAGCUGCAGUGUUCCAAUUACAUCUCAGUCCCAAGCGCCUCAAGGACACUGCUCUUCUGCAAAGGAUCCGAGGUGAAAAGGGUGAUAAUGUUCUCUGUCACAGAUCUGUGGAUUCUUAAAGAGAAGUUCUCUUGGGAGAGAACGUAUUACAGGCAGUGUUGCAGGCAUCCUCACUCCUUGGAAAAGCUUAUUUCUUCAGAUGGGAGUUCAGAAGCGUUGGGCCAGGUGGAUUGCCUGCAGUGGUAAUCAAGAGAAGAAAGCCAUGGUAUUGUCCACUUGAGACUAGGGGGAAAAAAAAGGAGCCGUACAGAGAGAUGGAGGUUUAGAGCACCUCAAAGAUGGGUAUUUAUGAGCUGACUGUAAUUUCACUACAUAUCAGACCUGAAGAAACUUGCACAACAAGCUGUCCCAAAAGAUACUCUGGAUGAUAUUUCUUACACAGAAGAACAUAGAAGGCGAGGUGGAGAAACCUAUGGUUCAAGCCAAUAAAUGUUCUUUUGUGUUUGUUAUUGUACUCUAGGAUUAGUAAAUCUAUAGGUCUUCAGUAAAAUAUUGGAAAGGAAUAUGCCAUCCAGAUUAAGACAGUUCUGUAAAAUCCCACCGUUACAAACUACGACUCACAGAGCUCUUUGUUUAAAUUAAUAGUUAUGUAAGAAGAAAUGAACCCUAAGUAAAAGAGUUUAAUUUCUUCAGCUUACCACAGAUUCAUGCUAUUCCUAACAAAGUAGAUGUAAAACUCAGUAAUGUGACUAUGGCUUGGGACAGAGGCUGUUUCCUAAGAGGUUGCUUGAACCACCUUUGCCACAAUGCAGAAUUUCCCCUCAAGGGUGUUUUCAUUUAAUUUCUGUUGAUCGAAAGUUUGAGACCCACUAAAUUCAGCCAAGGAUGGAGCUUAUUCAGUUGUUCAGAUACCAAAUGUAUUUGUCAUCUCUUUUGUUUUCUUCUCUUUUAACUUGUCUAAGACUUUUUAAAUGAUAAAUGGAGGCUCUAAUUAGCUAUUCAGCAUAGGUAAGAACAAGCAGCUUCUGAAAUUCCUUAAUGCCUGUACUUUUAAGAUGAAUGUGAUUUAUGUACCAUAGAAUAGUUACUAAAAUGCCUCCUAUUUCAUGAGAAAGGAAAUGUUCUUUUUACUUCAAUUGAAAAACAUUUUUUUCCGUGUUUUGCAAAAUGUAACUAAUUUCUUUUACACUUUCAUUGAUUGGAUUUUGCAAUUCAAAACAUUUUUUUACCCAUACACUUGUACAUAUUAAAGAGAAACAAUUCAUC
rnacentral:lncRNA from 7 species